GACGAACGCUGGCGGCGUGCUUAACACAUGCCAGUCGAACGGAAAGGCCCUGCUUUUGUGGGGUGCUCGAGUGGCGAACGGGUGAGUAACACGUGAGUAACCUGCCCUUGACUUUGGGAUAACUUCAGGAAACUGGGGCUAAUACCGGAUAGGAGCUCCUGCUGCAUGGUGGGGGUUGGAAAGUUUCGGCGGUUGGGGAUGGACUCGCGGCUUAUCAGCUUGUUGGUGGGGUAGUGGCUUACCAAGGCUUUGACGGGUAGCCGGCCUGAGAGGGUGACCGGCCACAUUGGGACUGAGAUACGGCCCAGACUCCUACGGGAGGCAGCAGUGGGGAAUAUUGCACAAUGGACGGAAGCCUGAUGCAGCAACGCCGCGUGCGGGAUGACGGCCUUCGGGUUGUAAACCGCUUUCGCCUGUGACGAAGCGUGAGUGACGGUAAUGGGUAAAGAAGCACCGGCUAACUACGUG
rnacentral:rRNA from 1 species